rnacentral:rRNA from 1 species
UACGUAGGGUCCAAGCGUUAUCCGGAAUUACUGGGCGUAAAGCGCACGUAGGCGGAUCGAUCAGUCAGGGGUGAAAUCCCAGGGCUCAACCCUGGAACUGCCUUUGAUACUGUCGAUCUGGAGUAUGGAAGAGGUGAGUGGAAUUCCGAGUGUAGAGGUGAAAUUCGUAGAUAUUCGGAGGAACACCAGUGGCGAAGGCGGCUCACUGGUCCAUUACUGACGCUGAGGUGCGAAAGCGUGGGGAGCAAACAGG